ACCUCUGUUCAGGUGAG
rnacentral:rRNA from 1 species